AGAGUUUGAUCCUGGCUCAGGAUGAACGCUAGCGGCAGGCCUAACACAUGCAAGUCGAGGGGCAGCACGGUGUAGCAAUACACUGGUGGCGACCGGCGCACGGGUGCGUAACGCGUAUGCAACCUACCCAUAACAGGGGGAUAACACUGAGAAAUUGGUACUAAUACCCCAUAACAUCAGGACCGGCAUCGGUUCUGGUUGAAAACUCCGGUGGUUAUGGAUGGGCAUGCGUUGUAUUAGCUGGUUGGUGAGGUAACGGCUCACCAAGGCAACGAUACAUAGGGGGACUGAGAGGUUAACCCCCCACAUUGGUACUGAGACACGGACCAAACUCCUACGGGAGGCAGCAGUGAGGAAUAUUGGUCAAUGGACGAGAGUCUGAACCAGCCAAGUAGCGUGAAGGAUGACUGCCCUAUGGGUUGUAAACUUCUUUUAUACGGGAAUAAAGUUAGGCACGUGUGCCUUUUUGUAUGUACCGUAUGAAUAAGGAUCGGCUAACUCCGUGCCAGCAGCCGCGGUAAUACGGAGGAUCCAAGCGUUAUCCGGAUUUAUUGGGUUUAAAGGGUGCGUAGGCGGUUUGAUAAGUUAGAGGUGAAAUACCGGGGCUUAACUCCGGAACUGCCUCUAAUACUGUUGGGCUAGAGAGUAGUUGCGGUAGGCGGAAUGUAUGGUGUAGCGGUGAAAUGCUUAGAGAUCAUACAGAACACCGAUUGCGAAGGCAGCUUACCAAACUAUAUCUGACGUUGAGGCACGAAAGCGUGGGGAGCAAACAGGAUUAGAUACCCUGGUAGUCCACGCAGUAAACGAUGAUAACUCGCUGUCGGCGAUACACAGUCGGUGGCUAAGCGAAAGCGAUAAGUUAUCCACCUGGGGAGUACGUUCGCAAGAAUGAAACUCAAAGGAAUUGACGGGGGCCCGCACAAGCGGAGGAACAUGUG
rnacentral:rRNA from 1 species